CCGGAGGAAGGUGGGGAUGACGUCAAGUCAUCAUGGCCCUUACGGCCCUGGGCCUACACACGUGCUACAAUGGUCGGUACAAAGGGUUGCCAAGCCGCGAGGUGGAGCUAAUCCCAUAAAACCGAUCGUAGUCCGGAUCGCAGUCUGCAACUCGACUGCGUGAAGUCGGAAUCGCUAGUAAUCGUGAAUCAGAAUGUCACGGUGAAUACGUUCCCGGGCCUU
rnacentral:rRNA from 1 species